rnacentral:ncRNA from 1 species
GUACUGCCUACUCCCAAGCCAUUGAUUCAGUAGCAAAGCAAAGCAUGCACACACAGCGGCUAAAAUAUUCUUGACCGCCAUGCAAUACACAGGAGCAAAUAACUCCUAUAAGAGCAUAGCCAAAAGAGGCUCUAAACAUGACCUUGUUUUAAAAUAUAAGGCUCGAGACCAUUAAAAACAUCCUCCAACAAUGACCCUAUUUUAUGAUGAUCAGUAGCUGGUACGAAAGGAUGAUCAGCCACACUUGGACUGGAACAUGGGCCAGACUCCUACAUGAGGCAAUCAUGAGGAAUUUUCCGCAAUGGGCGAAAGCCUGACGGAGCAAUGUCGUGUGGAGGUGGAAGGUCUACGGGUCGUCAACUUCUUUUCUCGAGAAAAAUCACUAAAUAAUUAUAGAGCUCGGUCUCACAUGUCCUAAAUAUAGUAC